GGGUUGUGAGGUUAAGCGACUAAGCGUACACGGUGGAUGCCCUGGCAGUCAGAGGCGAUGAAGGACGUGCUAAUCUGCGAAAAGCGUCGGUAAGGUGAUAUGAACCGUUACAGCCGGCGAUGUCCGAAUGGGGAAACCCAGUGUGAUUCGUCACACUAUCGUUAACUGAAUACAUAGGUUAACGAGGCGAACCGGGGGAACUGAAACAUCUAAGUACCCCGAGGAAAAGAAAUCAACCGAGAUUCCCCCAGUAGCGGCGAGCGAACGGGGAGCAGCCCAGAGUCUGAAUCAGCUUGUGUGUUAGUGGAACGGUCUGGAAAGUCCGACGGUACAGGGUGAUAGUCCCGUACACCAAAAUGCACAGGCUGUGAACUCGAAGAGUAGGGCGGGACACGUGGUAUCCUGUCUGAAUAUGGGGGGACCAUCCUCCAAGGCUAAAUACUCCUGACUGACCGAUAGUGAACCAGUACCGUGAGGGAAAGGCGAAAAGAACCCCGGCGAGGGGAGUGAAAAAGAACCUGAAACCGUGUACGUACAAGCAGUGGGAGCACCUUCGGGUGUGACUGCGUACCUUUUGUAUAAUGGGUCAGCGACUUAUAUUCUGUAGCAAGGUUAACCGUAUAGGGGAGCCGCAGGGAAACCGAGUCUUAACUGGGCGUUAAGUUGCAGGGUAUAGACCCGAAACCCGGUGAUCUAGCCAUGGGCAGGUUGAAGGUUGGGUAACACUAACUGGAGGACCGAACCGACUAAUGUUGAAAAAUUAGCGGAUGACUUGUGGCUGGGGGUGAAAGGCCAAUCAAACCGGGAGAUAGCUGGUUCUCCCCGAAAGCUAUUUAGGUAGCGCCUCGUGAACUCAUCUUCGGGGUAGAGCACUGUUUCGGCUAGGGGGUCAUCCCGACUUACCAACCCGAUGCAAACUACGAAUACCGAAGAAUGUUAUCACGGGAGACACACGGCGGGUGCUAACGUCCGUCGUGAAGAGGGAAACAACCCAGACCGCCAGCUAAGGUCCCAAAGUCAUGGUUAAGUGGGAAACGAUGUGGGAAGGCACAGACAGCCAGGAUGUUGGCUUAGAAGCAGCCAUCAUUUAAAGAAAGCGUAAUAGCUCACUGGUCGAGUCGGCCUGCGCGGAAGAUGUAACGGGGCUAAACCAUGCACCGAAGCUGCGGCAGCGACACUAUGUGUUGUUGGGUAGGGGAGCGUUCUGUAAGCCUGCGAAGGUGUGCUGUGAGGCAUGCUGGAGGUAUCAGAAGUGCGAAUGCUGACAUAAGUAACGAUAAAGCGGGUGAAAAGCCCGCUCGCCGGAAGACCAAGGGUUCCUGUCCAACGUUAAUCGGGGCAGGGUGAGUCGACCCCUAAGGCGAGGCCGAAAGGCGUAGUCGAUGGGAAACAGGUUAAUAUUCCUGUACUUGGUGUUACUGCGAAGGGGGGACGGAGAAGGCUAUGUUAGCCGGGCGACGGUUGUCCCGGUUUAAGCAUGUAGGCUGAUUGUCCAGGCAAAUCCGGAUAAUCAAGGCUGAGGUGUGAUGACGAGGCACUACGGUGCUGAAGUAACAAAUGCCCUGCUUCCAGGAAAAGCCUCUAAGCAUCAGGUAACAUCAAAUCGUACCCCAAACCGACACAGGUGGUCAGGUAGAGAAUACCAAGGCGCUUGAGAGAACUCGGGUGAAGGAACUAGGCAAAAUGGUGCCGUAACUUCGGGAGAAGGCACGCUGGUGUGUAGGUGAAGUCCCUGCGGAUGGAGCUGAGACCAGUCGAAGAUACCAGCUGGCUGCAACUGUUUAUUAAAAACACAGCACUGUGCAAACACGAAAGUGGACGUAUACGGUGUGACGCCUGCCCGGUGCCGGAAGGUUAAUUGAUGGGGUUAUCCGUAAGGAGAAGCUCUUGAUCGAAGCCCCGGUAAACGGCGGCCGUAACUAUAACGGUCCUAAGGUAGCGAAAUUCCUUGUCGGGUAAGUUCCGACCUGCACGAAUGGCGUAAUGAUGGCCAGGCUGUCUCCACCCGAGACUCAGUGAAAUUGAACUCGCUGUGAAGAUGCAGUGUACCCGCGGCAAGACGGAAAGACCCCGUGAACCUUUACUAUAGCUUGACACUGAACAUUGAGCCUUGAUGUGUAGGAUAGGUGGGAGGCUUUGAAGCGUGGACGCCAGUCUGCGUGGAGCCAACCUUGAAAUACCACCCUUUAAUGUUUGAUGUUCUAACGUUGGCCCCUUACCGGGGUUGCGGACAGUGUCUGGUGGGUAGUUUGACUGGGGCGGUCUCCUCCCAAAGCGUAACGGAGGAGCACGAAGGUUAGCUAAUCCUGGUCGGACAUCAGGAGGUUAGUGCAAUGGCAUAAGCUAGCUUGACUGCGAGCGUGACGGCGCGAGCAGGUGCGAAAGCAGGUCAUAGUGAUCCGGUGGUUCUGAAUGGAAGGGCCAUCGCUCAACGGAUAAAAGGUACUCCGGGGAUAACAGGCUGAUACCGCCCAAGAGUUCAUAUCGACGGCGGUGUUUGGCACCUCGAUGUCGGCUCAUCACAUCCUGGGGCUGAAGUAGGUCCCAAGGGUAUGGCUGUUCGCCAUUUAAAGUGGUACGCGAGCUGGGUUUAGAACGUCGUGAGACAGUUCGGUCCCUAUCUGCCGUGGGCGCUGGAGAAUUGAGGGGGGCUGCUCCUAGUACGAGAGGACCGGAGUGGACGCAUCACUGGUGUUCGGGUUGUCAUGCCAAUGGCACUGCCCGGUAGCUAAAUGCGGAAGAGAUAAGUGCUGAAAGCAUCUAAGCACGAAACUUGCCCCGAGAUGAGUUCUCCCUGAGACUUUAAGUCUCCUGAAGGAACGUUGAAGACGACGACGUUGAUAGGCCGGGUGUGUAAGCGCAGCGAUGCGUUGAGCUAACCGGUACUAAUGAACCGUGAGGCUUAACCUUACAACGCCGAAG
rnacentral:rRNA from 1 species